AGAAUCAACGCUGGCGGCGUGCCUAACACAUGCAAGUCGAACGAGAAAGUGGAGCAAUCCAUGAGUAAAGUGGCGCACGGGUGAGUAACACGUGACUAACCUACCCUUGAGUGGGGGAUAACCUAGGGAAACCUGGGCUAAUACCGCAUAAUACCGAGAGGUCAAAGGAGCAAUUCGCUUAAGGAGGGGGUCGCGGCCGAUUAGUUAGUUGGCGGGGUAAUGGCCCACCAAGACUAUGAUCGGUAUCCGGCCUGAGAGGGCGCACGGACACACUGGAACUGAAACACGGUCCAGACUCCUACGGGAGGCAGCAGUGGGAAUUUUGCGCAAUGGGGGAAACCCUGACGCAGCAACGCCGCGUGGAGGAUGAAGUCCUUGGGACGUAAACUCCUUUCGAUCGGGACGAUUAUGACGGUACCGAGAGAAGAACGCCCCGGCUAACGUUCGUGCCAGCAGCCGC
rnacentral:rRNA from 1 species